rnacentral:rRNA from 1 species
GACAGAGGGUGCAAACGUUGUUCGGAAUUACUGGGCGUAAAGCGCGUGUAGGCGGCUAAGUAAGUCGGGCGUGAAAUCCCACGGCUCAACCGUGGAAGUGCACUCGAAACUGCAUAGCUAGAGUCCUGGAGAGGAAGGUGGAAUGCUUGGUGUAGAGGUGAAAUUCGUAGAUAUCAAGCGGAACACCGGUGGCGAAGGCGGGUCUCUGGGCCGAAACUGACGCUGAGGAGCGAAAGCGUGGGGAGCAAACAGG